rnacentral:rRNA from 1 species
UAACUGAAGAGUUUGAUCAUGGCUCAGAUUGAACGCUGGCGGCAGGCUUAACACAUGCAAGUCGAGCGGGGGAAGGUAGCUUGCUACUGGACCUAGCGGCGGACGGGUGAGUAAUGCUUAGGAAUCUGCCUAUUAGUGGGGGACAACAUCUCGAAAGGGAUGCUAAUACCGCAUACGUCCUACGGGAGAAAGCAGGGGAUCUUCGGACCUUGCGCUAAUAGAUGAGCCUAAGUCGGAUUAGCUAGUUGGUGGGGUAAAGGCCUACCAAGGCGACGAUCUGUAGCGGGUCUGAGAGGAUGAUCCGCCACACUGGGACUGAGACACGGCCCAGACUCCUACGGGAGGCAGCAGUGGGGAAUAUUGGACAAUGGGGGGAACCCUGAUCCAGCCAUGCCGCGUGUGUGAAGAAGGCCUUAUGGUUGUAAAGCACUUUAAGCGAGGAGGAGGCUACUUUAGUUAAUACCUAGAGAUAGUGGACGUUACUCGCAGAAUAAGCACCGGCUAACUCUGUGCCAGCAGCCGCGGUAAUACAGAGGGUGCGAGCGUUAAUCGGAUUUACUGGGCGUAAAGCGUGCGUAGGCGGCUUAUUAAGUCGGAUGUGAAAU